ACGGUUCCAUUGUUGUGGGAAAGGUGGAAGUGGUGACAGCGCCUGGCGUUGCCUUGAGAACGCCAGGACUCACAGUAGCAAAAUGGGCCUCUCCCCGACGCCCCUCCUCCUCUUCUUCCUCCUCCCCGACCACAAAGCAAAGGGCACCCCUUCCUGGUGCAUGUGGGGGCAACAGGUGUCGGAUGUCCCAUCCAGGACUUUGCGGGGUCCGCUGAAGGACCCGUGGCGGAGACGGCCCCAAGUUCGUCAGAUUCCGCCUGUGUCUUCAGGAGGCUGGUGGAACAGAGAACAAGAUUGGAGUAGGAAAUGGGAGGCUCUUAAGUGGAAACUUACUGUUUUGUCCUUUUACAAGAAACUGGACAAUGGCUUAUUUCAGGAACAUGGAUGUCAUCAAUGUCACUGCCUUGCCAGUGGUGCCCGUGGAUGAGCACCUGACCGUCUCCCUCGGGUCACGGGAUGCGGUGAAAAAUGCCCUGAGGAAGAGUCUGGAGAACAACCCACCCUGCUGCCUUAUUGGCUCCAUACACCGGGUGAACCAAAGGAUUGCUGAG